ensembl:snoRNA
GGCUGACUUUAUCCUCUCACUGCUUGGAGUCUUAGGCAGUGAGACUUUUGUCCAUCAUAUAUCUAAGCUGACUUGUCUUCACUCAGGGCACCAUAGGGAUGGGUUGGCUGUCCGUUGGUGCCUUCUGAUUUUUGCAGAGUCAAACAAUU